UACGAAGGUGGCAAGCGUUGUUCGGAUUUACUGGGCGUACAGGGAGCGUAGGCGGUUGGAUAAGCCCUCCGUGAAAUCUCCAGGCUUAACCUGGAAAGUGCAGAGGGGACUGUUCAGCUAGAGGAUGGGAGAGGAGCGCGGAAUUCCCGGUGUAGCGGUGAAAUGCGUAGAGAUCGGGAGGAAGGCCGGUGGCGAAGGCGGCGCACUGGACCACAUCUGACGCUGAGGCGCGAAAGCUAGGGGAGCAAACAGG
rnacentral:rRNA from 1 species